rnacentral:tRNA from 1 species
GGGCCCGUAGUCUAGUGGUUAGGAUGCCGCCCUUACACGGCGGUGGUCCCGGGUUCGAAUCCCGGCGGGCCCACCA